rnacentral:tRNA from 1 species
GGGGGCGUAGCUCAGUUGGGAGAGCGUUACAAUGGCAUUGUAAAGGUCAGGGGUUCGAUUCCCCUCGCCUCCA